CCUACGGGAGGCAGCAGUGGGGAAUAUUGGGCAAUGGGCGCAAGCCUGACCCAGCAACGCCGCGUGAAGGAAGAAGGCUUUCGGGUUGUAAACUUCUUUUCUCAGGGACGAAGAAAGUGACGGUACCUGAGGACUAAGCCACGGCUAACUACGUGGCAGCAGCCGCGGUAAUACGUAGGUGGCAAGCGUUAUCCGGAUUUACUGGGUGUAAAGGGCGUGUAGGCGGGAAAGCAAGUCAGAUGUGAAAACCAUGGGCUCAACCUGUGGCCUGCAUUUGAAACUGUUUUUCUUGAGUACUGGAGAGGCAGACGGAAUUCCUAGUGUAGCGGUGAAAUGCGUAGAUAUUAGGAGGAACACCAGUGGCGAAGGCGGUCUGCUGGACAGCAACUGACGCUGAGGCGCGAAAGCGUGGGGAGCAAACAGGAUUAGAUACCCCGGUAGUC
rnacentral:rRNA from 1 species